AUAAAAAGAUGCCCUGGCAAGCAGCCUAGGGCUACUUGCUCUCAGGAACUUCUGGGGGAGGAGCCUCUGGGAGGAAGUUAGCUAUAUCCCUUCCUGUCCCAGGCUGCUGUGGCUGGGUGCUGCAACCUUGGUCUCAGGAACUUCUGGGGAGAAGAAGGCAGGCCCUUUCCUGCCUCUGGCUACUAUUAACUGCUGGCUUGGUCUCAGAGAUUUUGGACUACCUCACUGCAUCUGAUCCUGAUUUGUCUUCCUGCUGACUGCUCUGCUGCUGAGUGCCCAGCUGGAGGACUGAGGAGCUUCUGGACAGAUCUUCCACAAACAAAGCCCCUCCACUGCUCCAGCCAUCUUUUACACCUGCCUCAGCAGCCUUCUCUAUGUUUUGUUUUGUUUUGUUUUUGCCCUUGUGUGGUAAAUUCUGUGGUCUACUCCCCCAAUCUGGUGUUUGCUGUGUGGCUGAGUAAGCCAGUCUGAGUUUCCCCAGCCCUUGUAUGUGUGGUUUUGUUGUUGGGGGGGUUCCCCCUCCCCCCCCCAUAUUCCCAAAGCAUAGGUCUCCUGUUUUGUUUUGUUUUUUCCUGUGGGGCUGUAGCUCAGUGAGCUUCAACCCCCUUCCUCCCUAUCCUCCUUCUGCCCCACAACCCCAGCCUGCCCCUACUAGAUUCACCAGCCCCACGGGAUAUUUUGUUUUUAUCAUCUUCCCUGCCCUCAUGUGAAACAAUGGCAGGGCAGGAACCUUCUGGUGGGGCAGAUGCCCCUGCAGAGCUUCCUGCAGCCCCCACUAUGGGGUGGAUCCCAGCCAAGCCCCCAAAGAGAUGCAUGCCCCUGCAGCCUCCACCCCAGAGGCAGAGUUCAACCAACCUCCUCCAGGGGUGGAGAAGUCUGCAACCUCCACUGCAGGGGCAGGUGGGACUCUGGUAGGGAACCAACAGGGCCAGGGGGUCAUCCCUAGCCAGGCCUCCCCCGGGGGAGGAUCAUUGGGGACCAAGGUCAGUGGGAAGGGCUCCUCUUCAGCCUCCUCCACAGCUAGGGGUGGAAAGGGCAAGGCCCCUGCCCUGAAGCCUAGACCACCAGUGCCUGAGGGGACCAGGUGCACUACACCAGCCAGCACACCCAUUAGGCCUGUCCCUGGCAGUAGCUCAGGCCCCACCAAGAUGGCUCCCUGGGGGGGGGGGAACCACAGCUAUGCACAGUCAGCUAUGGGGAGACCCAAAGCCAGGGGGCCUGAACCCUCCACCACCAACCCUUCUAACUUGGGCAGUGGGGCCCCCUUUCCAGCACUCACCCACAGGCAUGGGGUAAAGUGCCAACUGCCCAAGCAGGAGAACCUACA